rnacentral:misc_RNA from 1 species
AUCCUCAUCAGCUUCAAUCGGGCCAUGAUAGCACCCCACAAGGAUCCUCCUUUUCCACUCAUCAAAGACAUGAAAGUUGCCUUCCUUUGGGAACUGCGUCAUCGAUAAAUCAUGAUACUCAUAGUGAUACCGCCAAUUCUCACUCUUCUGCGUACCCACCUUUGGAUGAUCUGAUGAGCAAUAUGCAUUUGACUGACAAUAAUCGCCCUUCUGCUCCUGCUUCCCCACCAGCACCCUCAGUGCCACCACUGCCUGAUUCCCCUGUUAGUCUUCAGAGUUUGAGUUUUGGGCAUGACAGACAAGACUUUUAUGGUUAUCCUAAUGACU